UAGUGACAGAGUGAGGGGAUGACUGGUGACAGAGGGAGGGAGGGGGUGCCUGUCAUUAGUCACCCCAUCCCUCUCUCUGUCACUCCCUCUAUCUCUCUGUCACCCCCUCCCUCCCUCUGUCACUAGUCACCCCCUCCCUCACUCUGUCACUA